rnacentral:rRNA from 1 species
CUUGCUGUAAACGAUGUAUACUUGGUGUAACUGGACUCAACCCUAGUUGUGCCGUAGCUAACGCGUUAAGUAUACCGCCUGAGGAGUACAGUCGCAAGGCUGAAACUCAAAAGAAUUGACGGGGACCCGCACAAGCAGUGGAGCAUGUGGUUUAAUUCGAUGCUACGCGAAGAACCUUACCCAGGCUUGACAUGCAGUAGACCGGUCUAGAAAUAGGCCUUUCCUUCGGGACUGCUGCACAGGUGC